rnacentral:rRNA from 1 species
UACGUAGGGUCCGAGCGUUGUCCGGAAUUAUUGGGCGUAAAGAGCUCGUAGGCGGCUUGUCACGUCGGGUGUGAAAGCCCGGGGCUUAACCCCGGGUCUGCAUUCGAUACGGGCUAGCUAGAGUGUGGUAGGGGAGAUCGGAAUUCCUGGUGUAGCGGUGAAAUGCGCAGAUAUCAGGAGGAACACCGGUGGCGAAGGCGGGUCUCUGGGCCGAUACUGACGCUGAGGAGCGAAAGCGUGGGGAGCGAACAGG